GCGAGCGGAGGGCAGUUCGGCUGCCCCGCGGACGGCUCAGUAACACGUAGUCAACCUACCCUUGGGUCGGGGAUAACCCCGGGAAACUGGGGAUAAUCCCCGAUAGGUGGGGGUACUGGAAAAGUCCCUCUCCCAAAGCUCCGGCGCCCAAGGACGGGACUGCGGCCCAUCAGGUAGUUGGCGGGGUAAAGGCCCACCAAGCCGACAACGGGUACGGGCUGUGAGAGCAGGAGCCCGGAGAUGGAGACUGAGACAAGGCUCCAGGCCCUACGGGGCGCAGCAGGUGCGAAAACUUCGCAAUGCGUGCAAGCGUGACGAGGGGAUCCCAAGUGCCGAUGGUCUUUCUGAUCGUCGGCUUUUCAAGAGUUUAAAUCGCUCUUGGAAUAAGAGCUGGGCAAGACUGGUGCCAGCCGCCGCGGUAACACCAGCAGCUCAAGUGGUGGUCGCGAUUAUUGGGCCUAAAGCGUCUGUAGCCGGGCCAGUAAGUCCCCUGUGAAAUCGGACGGCUCAACCGUUCGGCGUGCAGGGGAAACUACAGGCCUCGAGGCCGGGAGACGUCGAGGGUACUCCGGGGGUAGCGGUGAAAUGCUGUAAUCCCUGGGGGACCACCAGUGGCGUAGGCGCUCGACGAGAACGGACCUGACGGUGAGGGACGAAAGCUGGGGGAGCGAACCGGAUUAGAUACCCGGGUAGUCCCAGCUGUAAAGUAUGUGGGCCAGGUGUAGGGCGCUCCACGAGGGCGCCCGGUGCCGUAG
rnacentral:rRNA from 1 species